rnacentral:rRNA from 1 species
AUACGUAGGUGGCAAGCGUUAUCCGGAUUUACUGGGUGUAAAGGGCGCGUAGGCGGGGGUGCAAGUCAGAUGUGAAAUCUAUGGGCUUAACUCAUAAACUGCAUUUGAAACUGUAUCUCUUGAGUGCUGGAGAGGUAGACGGAAUUCCUUGUGUAGCGGUGAAAUGCGUAGAUAUAAGGAAGAACACCAGUGGCGAAGGCGGUCUACUGGACAGUAACUGACGCUGAGGCGCGAAAGCGUGGGGAGCAAACAGGAUUAGAUACCCUGGUAGUCCACGCUGUAAACGAUGAUUACUAGGUGUGGGGGGACUGACCCCUUCCGUGCCGCAGUUAACACAAUAAGUAAUCCACCUGGGGAGUACGGCCGCAAGGUUGAAACUCAAAUGAAUUGGCGGGG